UGGUGUUUCGGUUGUCCCGCCAGGGGCAUUGCCGAGUAGCCAAGUGUGGAUAUGAUAAACGCUGAAAGCAUAUAAGUGUGAAGCUUACCUCAAGAUAAGGUUUCCCUGAAGGGCACUUGUAGACUACAAGUUUGAUAGGCUAGGAGUGUAAAUGUAGUAAUACAGUUAGCUAACUAGUACUAAUUGCCCGUUCGGCUUGAUUAU
rnacentral:rRNA from 1 species